GAACGCUGGCGGCAUGCCUAACACAUGCAAGUCGAACGAGACCUUCGGGUCUAGUGGCGCACGGGUGCGUAACGCGUGGGAACCUGCCCUUAGGUUCGGGAUAACUCCCCGAAAGGGGUGCUAAUACCGGAUAAUGUCUUCAGACCAAAGAUUUAUCGCCUUUGGAUGGGCCCGCGUUGGAUUAGCUAGUUGGUAGGGUAAAAGCCUACCAAGGCGACGAUCCAUAGCUGGUCUGAGAGGAUGAUCAGCCACACUGGGACUGAGACACGGCCCAGACUCCUACGGGAGGCAGCAGUGGGGAAUAUUGGACAAUGGGCGAAAGCCUGAUCCAGCAAUGCCGCGUGAGUGAUGAAGGCCUUAGGGUUGUAAAGCUCUUUUACCCGGGAUGAUAAUGACAGUACCGGGAGAAUAAGCUCCGGCUAACUCCGUG
rnacentral:rRNA from 1 species